GGGUGCAUAGCUCAGUUGGUAGAGCAGCUGACUCUUAAUCAGCGGGUCGUAGGUUCGAAUCCUACUGCACCCA
rfam:Caulobacterales bacterium 68-7 SCNpilot_cont_300_bf_scaffold_11779, whole genome shotgun sequence.